UACGGAAGGCAGCAGUGGGGAAGUAUUGCACAAUGGGCGAAAGCCUGAUGCAGCUAUGCCGCGUGUAUGAAGAAGGCCUUAGGGUUGUAAAGUACUUUCAUCGGGGAGGAAAAACAAAACUAAUAAUUUUAUUUCUUGACGUUACCCGAAAAAGAAGCACCGGCUAACUCCGUGCCAGCAGCCGCGGUAAUACGGAGGGUGCUAGCGUUAAUCAGAAUUACUGGGCGUAAAGAGCACGUAGGUGGUUUUUUUAAGUCAGAUGUGAAAUCCCUGGGCUUAACCUGGAACUGCAUUUUGAAACUGAAAUACUAGAGUAUCGUAGAGGGAGGUAGAAUUCUAGGUGUAGCGGUGAAAUGCGUAGAUAUCUGGAGGAAUACCUGUGGCGAAAGCGGCCUCCUAAACGAAUACUGACACUGAGGGUGCGAAAGCGUGGGGAGCAAACAGGGAUUAGAUACC
rnacentral:rRNA from 1 species